rnacentral:rRNA from 1 species
CAGGCCUAACACAUGCAAGUCGAACGAAGUAGCAAUACUUAGUGGCAGACGGGUGAGUAACAUGUGGGUAUCUGCCCUUUGGCCUGGAAUAACACGAGGAAACUUGUGCUAAUACCGGAUAAGUCUUUACAGAGAAAGCUUUAUGCACCAUUGGAUGAGCCCGCACUUGAUUAGUUUGUUGGUGGGGUAAUGGCCUACCAAGACUUUGAUCAAUAGCUGAUUUGAGAGGAUGAUCAGCCACAUUAGGACUGAGACACGGCCCAAACUCCUACGGGAGGCAGCAGUGGGGAAUCUUGCACAAUGGAGGAAACUCUGAUGCAGCGAUGCCGCGUGAGUGAAGAAGGCCCUUGGGUUGUAAAGCUCUUUCGUCGGGGAAGAAAAUGACUGUACCCGAAUAAGAAGGUCCGGCUAACUUCGUGCCAGCAGCCGCGGUAAUACGAAGGGACCUAGCGUAGUUCGGAAUUACUGGGCUUAAAGAGUUCGUAGGUGGUUGAAAAAGUUGGUGGUGAAAUCCCAGAGCUUAACUCUGGAACUGCCAUCAAAACUUUUCAGCUAGAGUUUGAUAGAGGAAAGCAGAAUUUCUAGUGUAGAGGUGAAAUUCGUAGAUAUUAGAAAGAAUACCAAUUGCGAAGGCAGCUUUCUGGAUCAU